rnacentral:rRNA from 1 species
UACGAGGGGGGCGAGCGUUGUUCGGAAUUAUUGGGCGUAAAGGGCGCGUAGGCGGUCGGAUAAGUCUUGUGUGAAAUCUUCGGGCUCAACUCGGAGUCUGCACAGGAAACUAUCUGGCUUGAGUGUGGGAGAGGUGAGUGGAAUUCCUGGUGUAGCGGUGAAAUGCGUAGAUAUCGGGAGGAACACCGGUGGCGAAGGCGGCGAUCUGGGUAGAUACUGACGCUGAGGUGCGAAAGCGUGGGUAGCAAACAGG